rnacentral:rRNA from 1 species
CUUGGUCAUUUAGAGGAAGUAAAAGUCGUAACAAGGUUUCCGUAGGUGAACCUGCGGAAGGAUCAUUAUUGAAAUAAACCUGAUGAGUUGUUGCUGGUUCUCUAAAGAGCAUUGUGCACGCUUGUCAUCUUUAUGUCUCCACCUGUGCACAUUUUGUAGACCUGAAUCACUCUCUGAAAUGCUAACCAGUGUUUUAGGUUGGAGGAAUCUGACUUUGUUGUCUUUCCUUGCAUUUCUAGGUCUAUGUUCUUUUUCAUAUAAUCUUAUUGUGAUAUAAUGGGCCAUAUAUAAUAUAAACCUAUACAACUUUCAGCAACGGAUCUCUUGGCUCUCGCAUCGAUGAAGAACGCAGCGAAAUGCGAUAAGUAAUGUGAAUUGCAGAAUUCAGUGAAUCAUCGAAUCUUUGAACGCACCUUGCGCUCCUUGGUAUUCCGAGGAGCAUGCCUGUUUGAGUGUCAUUAAUAUAUCAACCUCUUUAAAUUUUGAGAGUGUUUGGUGGGUGGGGGGGUGUUUAUUUUUGCUGGCCUUCUCCAAGGUCAGCUCCCCUGAAAUGUAUUAGCGGAACAAUUUGUUGACCGUUCAUUGGUGUGAUAGCAUAUCUACGCUAUUGACGUGAAGCAAGUUCAGCUUAUAACAGUCCAUUGACUUGGACAAUUCUCUAUUUAUUAAUGUGACCUCGGAUCAGGUAGGGAUACCCGCUGAACUUAAGCAUAUCAAUAAGCGGAGGA